rnacentral:lncRNA from 1 species
UGGGGGUGAUAUACUUCAGUCCUCCAUUGUUUUUUGUCUUCAUUCCCUGGUCCUGGUCGGUGUCCAUUGAUGGGGCGGGACGUGGAGUCGUCUCCAUUGCUGCAUUUUCCCCGUCUGCUGUUCGGAGUCUGGCGGGGGUGGACCCCCGGAGGCGUCCGUUCUGUUUGGAGACCUUGGAGUGGCUCUCGGACGUGGACGCGUCUGGUCGGUUCGGUGGCCCUUGAGCGAUUCUCAUCUGUUCUUCCUUUUCGGGGGACGAACUUGUCUUUUGUUUGUUUGAUGAGAGAUGAUCGUGUUUUCUUGUUGUUUAGCAGAGGGC